GCGGGGGUCGCAUAGUCUGGCCAUUGCGUUGGAUUGCUAAUCCAAUGGGCUCGUCCCACGGGGGUUCAAAUCCCCCCCCCCGCGCCA
rnacentral:tRNA from 2 species